rnacentral:rRNA from 1 species
AGCGAACGCUGGCGGCAUGCCUAACACAUGCAAGUCGAACGAUCCCUUCGGGGAUAGUGGCGCACGGGUGCGUAACGCGUGGGAACCUGCCCUUAGGUUCGGAAUAACUCCCCGAAAGGGGUGCUAAUACCGGAUAAUGUCUUCGGACCAAAGAUUUAUCGCCUUUGGAUGGGCCCGCGUUGGAUUAGCUUGUUGGUGGGGUAAUGGCCUACCAAGGCGACGAUCCAUAGCUGGUCUUAGAGGAUGAUCAGCCACACUGGGACUGAGACACGGCCCAGACUCCUACGGGAGGCAGCAGUGGGGAAUAUUGGACAAUGGGCGAAAGCCUGAUCCAGCAAUGCCGCGUGAGUGAUGAAGGCCCUAGGGUUGUAAAGCUCUUUUACCAGGGAUGAUAAUGACAGUACCUGGAGAAUAAGCUCCGGCUAACUCCGUGCCAGCCGCCGCCGUAAUAC